GAGCAGAAGACACUGAGUGAGGUGUCCAGUAUGCAGAGCUGAUGAAGUGAACUUGAUCCCUGCUCUGGUGAAUCCAAGAAGGUGUGUUGGGAAGAGAUGGGGGCCUCACUGCAUUGCCCAGGCUGAAGGGCAUUGGCUAUUAACAAGCACAAUCAUAGCACACUACAGCCUCCUGGGCUCAAGCAGUUCUUCCGCCCCAGCCUCCCAAGCAGCUGGGACUACAGGUAGCAACGUGUACUCAGUAUGUUUGGUGUCUCACAAGCAUCCAGUUGAACACUGGAGCCAUGGAGAGAGCUCAGUCUCACACCUAAGAAGGUUCUCUGAAUGUUGGUGAGACUGAGCUGAGCAGUACCUGCACAGUGUGCAGCUGUAAUGAAGCACUUGCCCUGGAAUCCUUCUUGCAAAUUUCUGUUGAUGCCCUCCCUGAGCUGUUGGUACAGAAACAACUUGAAACAGGAGAACCAUGGCCAGGGCAGAGGAGAUGCUCACAGGAGAACAGAACACGUUGUGCGAAGGGUUAUCUUGACACAGUAUCUUUAAAAGGCGUAUGGCAAAAGUACCACUUGCAUUAGAAAGAGUUUCCAUGAUGCAGGGCCUGGAAGGGAAGAAUAAAGAGAAAUGCAGUUUCCACACUCCCUGAAUGUUACUGA
rnacentral:lncRNA from 10 species